rnacentral:snRNA from 1 species
AGCUUUGCGCAGAGGCGAUAACGUGACCAAUGAGGCUUUGCCGAGGUGCGUGCUGGUUGACAACUUUUCCCAAUUGCCCGCGAUGGCCCCUGAAACACUGGAAUAAAUACUAACUCAGAAGCUCGCAUCAAACACUGGUAAAGAAGAUAAAACUACAUGAGGCUUCACGACAGCACAAUAUUGAAACUUUUAUCGAAG